GACGAACGCUGGCGGCGUGCUUAACACAUGCAAGUCGAACGGAAAGGCCCUGCGUUUGUGGGGUUCUCGAUUGGCGAACGGGUGAGUAACACGUGAGUAACCUGCCCUUGACUUUGGGAUAACUUCAGGAAACUGGGGCUAAUACCGGAUAGGAGCUCCUGCUGCAUGGUGGGGGUUGGAAAGUUUCGGCGGUUGGGGAUGGACUCGCGGCUUAUGAGCUGGUUGGUGGGGUAGUGGCUGACCAAGGCUUUGACGGGUAGCCGGCCUGAGAGGGUGACCGGCCACAUGGCGACUGAGAGAGGGCGCAGACUCCUACGGGAGGCAGCAGGCGGGAAUAUUGCACAAUGGGCGGAAGCCUGAUGCAGCAACGCCGCGUGCGGGAUGCCGGCCUUCGGGUUGUAAACCGCUUUCGCCUGUGACGAAGCGUGAGUGACGGUAAUGGGUAAAGAAGCACCGGCUAACUACGUG
rnacentral:rRNA from 1 species